AGCUCGGAGAGGAAGAAGAGGUGUGAGGCUGCUUUUGUCGCGUUAAGAGAGAGAAAGUACUGUUUACGAUGAGAUUGUAGCCAUGUUGAGUGGAAAAAGGGGAAAAAAAUAGUGGAUUAGAGGGAGAGACGAAAUUGCCCAUCGUAAUAAGGCUGCGUUUGGUACAGCUUUUAACCUCCUGUGCUUAUAAGCAAUGUCCCAUUUGGUGUUUGGUAAAUCAACUUCACGCGGGCUUCUUUUGGAAGCCAGGGCUUAUAAGCUGGAAAAGCAGAAGCCAGGGGACCCUUGCUUUUAGAAGCCAGAAGCCGCGGCUACUGUAGCGAAGGUUUAAUGAAUUUUUCAAAAUACCAUUGGGUACCCUUAUGAACUUCAAGGAAUUACACACACGACCAGCCUCUUCUCUUCCUCAACUCUCCCUUUCUGUCUUCUCUCUCUCGGUGCUCAGGACGACGUUGUGCAUCCAUCGGCGCCUCCGCCUUUGCUCUCCCUUGUGGCCACCUCGAGUUCGCAUGGCUAUGAAUGAUUGGGAGCUCAUGAUUCCUUUAGCCUUCUUUUCUGGUGAUAUGGUCAUCUUGAUUCAAAUUUAGGAAUAAAAUUAGACCUUGGUGUUGCAACAGGGAAGAAUUAUCUUCAGUGGCAUGUUACUCGGGCUGAGUUGGUGGUGACGGAAGCCAAGUUGUGCAAGGAGAUACUCAGUAAUAAAGAUGGAUUAUAUCCGAAACCCAAGUUCAGAGCUUAUGCAAAGAAGAUAUUUGGGAAUGGACUUCCACAAUUAGAAUGAAAACUGGGUGAAAUCACGAAUGCUGACUAUUGAUAAAGCCAGUCUUUCUUUUCCCUGCAUUGUGGUUUAUGUGUUGAUCUGGCAUGGUGGUAUUGUUUUGUAUUACUAGAAUAUGGUGGCAAAGUUCUGCAACAUUGCAAAUUUAUGAUAGAACUUAAAUGGCUCAAGAUAAUGGUGGCAUGGUAUAUAUAUCCUAAUCCGUAUAAAGCCAAAAGAAUAUGUUAUGACCACUAAUUAUUUUUUUCAGGAGCUCAAUCCGGCCACGUACUAAUACAGCAUCGAACCUGCUAGGACAUCCACUAGAGCUGUAAGUUUAUUACUUAUUCUACAAACUACAUAUUUAAGGAAAUCAGUUCUCUCUCUCUCUCUCUCUCUCUCUCUCUCUCUCUGUACUACUUUUUAAAAUUUUUGUUUUCUUUCUCGUCAGUUUUAUUACAUUAAGGAUAGCUGUGGAUUUUUUGGUUUCCAAGCUGAACUGUCUUCUUAUUUUCAUAGUAUUAUUAUUGGUGUAUUUUGGCUGAUAGUUUGGAUAGCUGCAACUGCUGGACAGGACUUAAAUUGUGUGUUUCAGCUUUAUUUGGUUUCAGCAAUCAACUUGUUCUUUCUUUAAGACCAUUAGAUCAUAGUUAUGUACAGUUUCCUUCAUCAUUACUUUCUUGGACCGGGCCUUAUAACUUUCUUGCAAAGUUCAGUACUGUCUUGAAGUUUUAUGUUAUGGUCUCUUUACAUUUGGAGCUAAAAUAUUUGAUGCGCAUUAUACCAUAAAUGUUCUUAUUAUGAUAGUGCUUGUCUCAGUAAAAUGUUUGCUUAACUAAUGUGUGCUCCAGUGAUCUUUUAGGAAAGCUUCUAUUGGAACCGAAGAGUAACCUCUUAAAUGAAGAAGUAUAUGAAUUGUAAUUAAAAGUGAAAAGUUAUUCAAGGAACCGAAGAGUAACCUCUUAAAUGAAGAAGUAUAUGAAUUGUAAUUAAAAGUGAAAAGUUAUUCAAGUAAAUAUCUUGGUGAAUAUGGGUAGAGGUCAUGAAGGGCAGAGCCAUUCAUUGUUUGGUCUAUGAUCCUUAGAGGCAGAGAUCUCUUCUUCUGAGCUGACAAGUACAAUGGAAAAGCUUUCGAGGAACAUGGAGCAGAUUGGGGGUCAAGUUGCUACUGUCCGAGGCUAUACUGUAUAUAAUUAUAGUGAUGGAUGAUGAUAUGCCUAAGGAUAAGGACGAGGAAGAACACGAAGAUGAGGAAGUAGUUUAUAAGGCCACAAUUUUAAUAUUUAGACUUGGUAGUAUCUUUUAGUGAACAUGUUUAUGUUGCUGUCUAUUUAGUACAUUGAUGUUGGAUAUUAGUUAAUCAAUGCUACAUCUCUAUAUAUUUUUUCUUGGAAUAAAAGUGAACGCUUCAAUUUGACUGGCA